rnacentral:rRNA from 1 species
AACGUGUCGCGAUGAUGA